CGAAGAUCCCGAGCUCAUGUGGCGGUGGAUCCAGCCAGGGAAAAGGGGACGGACAGUCCAAGGCGCAGCUCCAGAGGAGAGGCCGUCCCGGGGUAGAUGAGUCGGCGAUCGGCAGCCAAAGAGCUAGCCGGGAAUAAGGGACGGGCGGUCCAAGGCGCAGCUCCAAGGGAGCGGAGAUUCUGAGCCCACGUGGCGAUGGAUCAAGCCGGGAAUAAGGGGCUCCAUUGCCCUCUCUCUCUGCUUUGGUCAAUAGCCCAAAUACUAAUCUAGUGUCUUCUUUCUCCUUAGGACGCCAGAGGAGCACUGUGCAGGUAUGUAUGUGUUCUGUGCUCCUCGUUGACGAUCCGAGUAAUGAAGGGCCAAGGAGUCCACGUGCAACGGGGGGGUUCUUGGGAUUUUUUGGAAGGGCACAAAGGAAUUCUUCUGUGUGACAUGCUGAGGCCUGAGAUUGAAGAGAAUUAGGCCCGACUCUUUGCUAACUCCAGGAAUGUGUCAGUGCUGGAGCAAUGGCCAAAGGCCACCAUGUCCUUGGAGGUGACCGCCUACUGGAUCCCUGAGAUGAGAGAAAUACUUGGCAGAUAUGCAGGUUUCUGCUUGGAAAAGGCCAUUCUCUCCCACCCGGCGCAGGUCAAGUACAAGCCUAGAGAGUCCAGCGGAUGGUGGCUGCAGGAUGGCUAUGAAUGCUGAUCAGUUCAUAAGCGCUCGCAGCCAUUCCCAGGAAAUUUCGGACUUGGAGUCCAUCCUCUUGGACCUGGAGGAAUUGCAAAGGAGCGAGGAGGAAGAGGAAGCGAUGUUUCAAACAUUUCCAGAACCGUCCUCCUUGGUAAGCUGGUUUUCCUGCUUCGAGACGAGCGGCAGCAAGAGGAAGACAACCGAGGCUGGCUUGCAUAGACACGCAAAGUGAAGGCGGCAAGGCGGAGACGAGGAUGAAUCAGUAGUUUCCCCAUACCCGGAACCGCUCGGGAAGUCUCAGGACCUGCUGGAGUAUGUCAACCGGUUUGCACAGUCCCUUUCUGAAGAAGACAGUUCAAGCACAGGUAAGUGCUUCGGCAGUUUCAGAGGAGCCAGCGUGUGUCUCAUACCAAACUCUCCUAUGCAUACUGCCACGGGGGCCAUGUGGGCAAUGCCUUUGAUUUCCCAAGUAUGUUGCAAGGAAAAGGGGCCCCGGGUAUUUCUGAGAUACCCCCUCUCCAUCUCUUACAGAGUUCCUUGUUUACCUGCUGCUACCUGCUACCCUGACUGUCCCCUCUGUCCCCUCACUUUCCUUCACAGUGUUCACAGUGUCCUUUGAGAUUGCGGAUUCGAAACAGCCUUGCCGGUAUAUGCCAUCUGAUUCACAUUUGGUUCAAUUUCACAGGGUCUUCCACCUCACUUGACCCGGCUUCUCCCGUCUCCAAUCUGCAACAGAGACCACCGUCUACAAGAGAGGCACUAGAGGAGGUGGAGCGAAUCAUUCAAGAGCUCAGAGCUAAAGAUGAAUCUUUACAGGCCGUCCCUUCCGAUGUAUUGGAAUAUGUCUUUGGAAACCCUGACACAACAAACGAAUCGGGUCAGCCUCCAUCAGGUAAGGAUAAUUCCGAAGGAAUAUGCCGCCUCCACAGG
rnacentral:lncRNA from 1 species